UGGGGAAUUUUGGACAAUGGGGCGAAAGCCUGAUCCAGCAAUGCCGCGUGUGUGAAGAAGGCCUUCGGGUUGUAAAGCACUUUUGUCCGGAAAGAAAUCCUUGGCUCUAAUACAGUCGGGGGAUGACGGUACCGGAAGAAUAAGCACCGGCUAACUACGUGCCAGCAGCCGCGGUAAUACGUAGGGUGCAAGCGUUAAUCGGAAUUACUGGGCGUAAAACGUGCGCAGGCGGUUUGCUAAGACCGAUGUGAAAUCCCCGGGCUCAACCUGGGAACUGCAUUGGUGACUGGCAGGCUAGAGUAUGGCAGAGGGGGGUAGAAUUCCACGUGUAGCAGUGAAAUGCGUAGAGAUGUGGAGGAAUACCGAUGGCGAAGGCAGCCCCCUGGGCCAAUACUGACGCUCAUGCACGAAAGCGUGGGGAGCAAAACAGGAUUCAGAUACCCUGGUAGUCCACGCCCUAAACGAUGUCAACUAGUUGUUGGGGAUUCAUUUCCUUAGUAACGUAGCUAACGCGUGAAGUUGACCG
rnacentral:rRNA from 1 species